rnacentral:misc_RNA from 1 species
GAUGAAGAACGUAGCGAAAUGCGAUAAGUAAUGUGAAUUGCAGAAUUCAGUGAAUCAUCGAAUCUUUGAACGCACCUUGCGCCCUUUGGACUUCUGAAGGGCAUGCCUGUUUGAGUAUCAUGAACACCUCAACUCUCAUGGCUUGCCAUGAAGAGCUUGGACUAUGGGGGUCUUGCUGGCCUGUGGUCGGCUCCUCUCAAAUGAAUCAGCUUGCCGGUGUUUGGUGGCGUCACAGGUGUGAUAACUAUCUACGCUUGUGGUGUUUUCCACCAGGUAACCUUCAGCAAUGGAGGUUCGCUGGGGCUCAUAAAAGUCUCUCCUCGGUGAGGACAGCUCUUUUUGAACGUUUGAUCUCAAAUCAGGUAGGACUACCCGCUGAACUUAAGCAUAUCAAUAAGCGGAGGA